rnacentral:rRNA from 1 species
GAUGAACGCUAGCGGCAGGCUUAACACAUGCAAGUCGAGGGGUAUUGGUUUUCGGACCAAGAGACCGGCGCACGGGUGCGUAACGCGUAUGCAAUCUACCUUUGCAGAGGGAUAGCCCCAGAGAAAUUUGGAUUAAUACCUCAUAGUAUAGUACUUUGGCAUCAAGGAACUAUUAAAGUCACAACGGCAAAAGAUGAGCAUGCGUCCCAUUAGCUAGUUGGUAAGGUAACGGCUUACCAAGGCUACGAUGGGUAGGGGUCCUGAGAGGGAGAUCCCCCACACUGGUACUGAGACACGGACCAGACUCCUACGGGAGGCAGCAGUGAGGAAUAUUGGUCAAUGGACGCAAGUCUGAACCAGCCAUGCCGCGUGCAGGAUGACGGUCCUAUGGAUUGUAAACUGCUUUUGUACGAGAAGAAACAACAUUACGUGUAAUGUCUUGACGGUAUCGUAAGAAUAAGGAUCGGCUAACNCCGUGCCAGCAGUCCG